AGCGAACGCUGGCGGCAGGCUUAACACAUGCAAGUCGAGCGGACCUUUCGGGGUCAGCGGCGGACGGGUGAGUAACGCGUGGGAACGUGCCUUCCGGUUCGGAAUAACCCUGGGAAACUAGGGCUAAUACCGGAUACGCCCUUAUGGGGAAAGGUUUACUGCCGGAAGAUCGGCCCGCGUCUGAUUAGCCAGUUGGUGGGGUAACGGCCUACCAAGGCGACGAUCAGUAGCUGGUCUGAGAGGAUGACCGGCCACACUGGGACUGAGACACGGCCCAGACCCCGAGGGGGGGAAGCAGUGGGGAAUAUUGAACAAGGGGCGAAAGCCGGAUCCAGCCACGCCGCGGGAAAGAAGAAGGCUUUAGGUUUGAAAAGUUCUUUUCUAGGGGACGAAAAUGAGGGUACGGGAGAAAAAAGCCCCGGCUAAUUUCGUG
rnacentral:rRNA from 1 species